GACGAACGCUGGCGGCGUGCCUAAUACAUGCAAGUAGAACGCUGAAGGAGGAGCUUGCUUCUCUGGAUGAGUUGCGAACGGGUGAGUAACGCGUAGGUAACCUGCCUGGUAGCGGGGGAUAACUAUUGGAAACGAUAGCUAAUACCGCAUAACAGUAGAUAUCGCAUGAUAGCUGCUUGAAAGGUGCAAUUGCACCACUACCAGAUGGACCUGCGUUGUAUUAGCUAGUUGGUGAGGUAACGGCUCACCAAGGCAACGAUACAUAGCCGACCUGAGAGGGUGAUCGGCCACACUGGGACUGAGACACGGCCCAGACUCCUACGGGAGGCAGCAGUAGGGAAUCUUCGGCAAUGGACGGAAGUCUGACCGAGCAAC
rnacentral:rRNA from 1 species